GAGAACACCCGAAACCGAGAACAUUUCGUGUCUAAUUCAAUCAUUCUAACCACCAAUCACAAACAACAACAAAGCCAAAAGCAAACAAACAAGGCUUGAUUCUCGGACAACCUAAUAGGUUCAACGAUAUCAAUGCAUCAACAGAGGCAAAAGUAAGGGUUUAGAUUAAUGGUACCUCUUUAAUAGACUCUUCCUAUGCUCGAUCGAUGACCAAUUGGCUUUUGUUUUUAAAGCCACAACACCGACGGAGAGGAGUCGCCGCCGCUUUGGACUACUGCAGAGAAGUUGCCGCCGCCUCGGAUGAUUGGAGCGGAGUCGCCGCCGCCUCGGACGCAUGGAAAGGACUCGACGCCGAAGCUUUUGUUGGAGACGAGUCGCAGUUCCUUGGAAUCGUCGAUAUCUUUACUUGCUUAGAAGUUAGAAGUGUUAGUUAGAGCAUCAUUAUCCCUGUAUACCAUAUAGGUUUCUUAGUUAAUUUUUAAUUAAUAAAUUUAGGUUAAGAACCUUUCUUAAAAAAUUAUGUUUUUUAUGCUUUAAC
rnacentral:lncRNA from 1 species